GAUUUUUUUUUUAAAGCAGCGAACACACAGACAAAGGCGGGCGGGAAAUUUCUAUAGCCAAGGAAAUGACUUCACACCUUCAACCCUCGGCAAAGUUGAAGAGAAAGGAAUGGAUCAAAUAUAGAUUUAUGUGUUUCAUGUCAAAAUAAAUGGAUUUUACAUGUUGCCACAAAGCGUUCCUUGCUCGCUCGCCGACUGAAUCCUUGCGUCACAGGACGUGAGGGCGCAGCGCCAGGACGAUGAUGGCGACAACAACAAGGACAACAACGACGGUGACAAACAGCAACAACAAUGAAAAUAUAACGUGGCAUUAAAAUGUCAUUUCAUACUCAUACAAACAAGCUCAUAUAACGCUCCCUUUUUGUU
ensembl:ncRNA lncRNA:CR45294 long non-coding RNA:CR45294